AGGUCCUACGGGGGGCAGCAGUGGGGAAUAUUGCACAAUGGGGGAAACCCUGAUGCAGCGAUGCCGCGUGGAGGAAGAAGGUUUUCGGAUUGUAAACUCCUUUUAUCAGGGACGAUAAUGACGGUACCUGAAGAAUAAGCUCCGGCUAACUACGUGCCAGCAGCCGCGGUAAUACGUAGGGAGCAAGCGUUAUCCGGAUUUACUGGGUGUAAAGGGCGUGUAGGCGGGCAUGCAAGCCAGAAG
rnacentral:rRNA from 1 species